UCGUAUGACAUGAUGGAACCUCUAAGAACUGCUUUCGCAGACAUCCAAUAAAGCGAUGGAUCUGAGGCAAGAAAGUGUUUGUUGUGCUCAUGGUAAUCUUCCCAAGCUUUGAUUAAGUAUAAACCAAUACCUCACGCCGCUUUGCUGGAGAGUUGAAGCCUCCCACAUUGAUCGUGCCAAUCUUUAAAGAAGACAUGUGAAGUCGUUGAUAGAGUACUUCAGCUGCACGAUGCCCUGACUUAAAUCCUCUGUGCCCUUGAGCAUCGGCUUUAGAUGACGUUGAAGGACUAGUAUAAUCAUCAUGACUUGUUGCGCCAGCUGCAGAGCUAGUAUUUGGUUGAUUCUCCUGCGCUUCUCUCGACUGAUCAAUGUGAUCCAUAUUGAUGAACACU